GCGGAGGGAGGGGGAUUCGAACCCCCGGAGGCUUGCGCCUCAGGAAGUAACUGCCGCAAGGUGGUUCGUGGGUUCGAAUCCCACCCUCUCCGCA
rnacentral:tRNA from 1 species